UAAGCGGAGGAAAGAAACUANCAAGGAUUCCCCUAGUAACUGCGAGUGAAGCGGGAAAAGCUCAAAUUUAAAAUCUGGUGGUCUUUGGCCAUCCGAGUUGUAAUUUAGAGAAGCGUCUUCCGCGCUGGACCGUGCACAAGUCUCCUGGAAUGGAGCGUCAUAGAGGGUGAGAAUCCCGUCUUUGGCACGGACACACCGGGGCUUUUGUGAUGCGCUCUCGAAGAGUCGAGUUGUUUGGGAAUGCAGCUCAAAAUGGGUGGUGAACUCCAUCUAAAGCUAAAUAUUGGCGAGAGACCGAUAGCGAACAAGUACCGUGAGGGAAAGAUGAAAAGCACUUUGGAAAGAGAGUGAAACAGUACGUGAAAUUGUUGAAAGGGAAACGCUUGAAGUCAGUCACGUCGACCGAGACUCAACCUUGCCUUGGCUUGGUGUACUUCUCGGCUGACGGGUCAGCAUCAAUUUUGCCCCUUGGAUAAUGGCGAGGGAAAUGUGACACCUUUACGGUGUGUUAUAGUCUCUCGUCGCAUGCAAGGGUUGGGAUUGAGGAACUCAGCACGCGCCUUUGGGCGUCGGGGCUUUGCCCACGAUACGUGCUUAGGAUGUUGGCAUAAUGGCUUUAAACGACC
rnacentral:rRNA from 1 species